ACUAUUUGUGAUUUCCUCUGGGCAACUCACGUGUUACAAAUGGGCGGAUUCGAUACAAACGACUGCAACGUUUGUUAGAAAUGUCCAAUUUAGCGUUUGGAUAGAAACCUCACAGGAAGAGGUCUUGAAGACGGAUGUAACCCAAUGACCAAUGUCGCGAGUGGUAACGAACGGUUUGCCCAGUCAUUUGUGAUUUGACAAAUGUUUCUCCCAACAUUGUGACAGGCUAGUUGUAUUUUCUUUCCUUGAGACGUGCUUUGGAUUCCUCCUCUACCUUCAACGAUUUGGACCAGUAGCCUAAUUACCGGGCAGAAACCAAGACAUGGGGACUCAGGGCACAGGACGUAAAAGAAAUCACAUUAAGGACAGGUCGACGGCCGAGGAUGAUACCCUUAAUCUCAUUGCAAGAGAGGCAGAGGCCAGGCUUGCUCUGAAGAGGGCGGCCAGGGCAGAGGCCAGAGAAAUCCGUAUGAAGGAGCUGGAGAGACAACAGGAGGAGAUCUCAGACGACGAUGAGCAGAUGUUGGUGGGCAGCCGAGGCAGUCUGAGGGUGGAGGACAGAGAUUUCCUGGAAAAGGGAUCUCAAUCUGCUUCCACCCUAACGGCAGCUACCCUCGCUUCACUCAGCGGGUCUUCCUCCCGGAGAGGAAGUGGCGAAUUGUCAAUGACUGGCGACACAGAGACCUCCAUACUAGAGAUCAAGGAUUCCCUUGUGGAGGUGGAGGAGAAGUACCGCAAGGCCAUGGUGUCCAACGCCCAGCUGGACAAUGAGAAGAACAACCUGAUGUACCAGGUAGAUGGGCUGAAGGACUCGCUCAUGGAGCUGGAAGAGCUGCUGUCCGAGUCACGCCGCGAGUAUGAUGCAAAGAACAAGGACUUUGAGUGUGAGAAACAUGCCUACGGCGUGCUCCAGUUCCAGUUCAACGUGAUGAAAGAAACGCUAAAACAGAGCGAGGAGUUACUAACGGAGAUCUGUCAGUUGCGUCUCAAGCAGGACAGCUUUGUUAGGGAAAUAUCUGACCUGCAGGAAACUGUAGAGUGGAAGGAUGAAAAGAUUGGGGCCUUAGAGCAACAAAAGGGGUAUUUGGACGCUGUCAAAAAUGAGCGAGAUGAGCUCAGGGAUGAGCUGGUCCAGCUGAAAGAUAUUCUGAAGAAACAUGGAAUUGUCCUCGGACCUGACCUGACCACCAAUAGGGAAAAGGUGGAGAUGGUAACUGAAAGGUCAGCUAGUAGAGAUCCAGCUUCUCAAUUGGCUCAGGACUCCCAUACGUCACCCACGGAAGGGGGGAACAUCAUGCUCGGCAGAGCUCAGGAUAUGGAAUUGGGAAGUAGAGGAGAUAAGAUGGUGGUUCCAGGAAGGUCCAGGCAGCAAGUGGAAACACAUGAGGCGGUUCAAGAGAACCAUCUGACCUCGCCCACUCCCUGUAGCCUCGCUGGUGUUUCUGAAACCGAAACUUCUGUGGAGGCUCGGCCAUGCUCGCCCAAAUUGGGGGAUGAGGUUGAGAUUGAAUGCAGUAAUGUCAACAAAGACUCUGACAAUGGCAUACUGGUAGUAGAGGUCAAGCAUGGACCGGUUUGCGAUUCUGAGGUAAUUGUGGUUGUAACAGUUCCUGAGGAAGAGCUUACAGGGGAGGGAUACAAACCAGCAGGCAUGGAGGGGACAGUGCAAGGGAGAGUAGAGGCCACAAACAAAUGGGAAAUGGGAAUAAAAAAUGACAAGGCAGAUGAUAUGGAGGCCAAAGUCACCAAGAGUAGUGAUCACACAAAAGAGCCUACCUCAGAAUAUGGUGCAUUAGCUGAACAAGAUAAUAUAGCAUUGAGGAAAGAGAUUGUGAAAAGUAUAGACUCAUGUCCUCACCCUAGGGAAACCAUUGAGGACACCAUACAAAAUGGCACACAGAUUAGCCCAGGGACUGACCAUGAUACUAGUAAGAGCGCAAUAAGAUCAGAAUGUAAGCCUCAACCUAAGCUUCAGAAAACAAAGGCAGAAGCGUUAUCAGAGAUAACUGACACUCAGCCACAGGCCCAAGGAGGCAAGAAGAAGAAGAAGAAAGGCAAGAAGGGAGAGAGACAAGGUGAUGAAAAGCAGGAAGACUAUAAGAAGAGCACAACAGAAAAGGGUGUAGUCUCCAUGAAAAAUAGCACACAGAUUCCCCAAAGAACAAACCUUGAUACUACUAAGAGCCCAGUCGAAUCAAAGGCUAAAGUGUUGCCAGAGGCCACUGAUAUGCAGCCACUGGCCCAAGGAGGCAAAAAGAGGAAGAAAGGCAAGAAGGGAGAGACACAAGGUGAUGAAAACCAGGGAGACGAUAACAAGAGGAGCAAAACAGAAAAGGAUGUGGACUCAGUCUCAACAGAUAAGGAGCCAGUAGUGGAGGAAGUUAUCACAAUAGAGACACAGGAGCUUCUAGAGGAGGGGACCGGUAGUUCACCAAAUCGAGAACUCCAAAGCCCUAAAGAAAAAGCACAAACCAUAGCUGAGGGAGGGAACCUGAAGGAAGAAGAACAACAACUAGCAGAGGGCCGAGUAGAGGUUAAGAGUGAGGAGCCUCCCAUUGAAACCCCAGAAGUAUCUCUGACGGACCAAGCCAAGAGUGAGGAAGUUGUCAAAAAGGACCACCAAAAACCUUCCAUGGAAUCAGAGAAAUCAGAAGGCGAGAUAUCAGUAUUAUGCCAUGAGUGCGACAUUGGUAUUGUGGAUCCUGUUAACCAGCAAUGUAUAACCAAUUGUGUAACCAGUGCUGAUAACCCUAAAGAGAAAUUAGAAUCCACAACAAAUACUGGUACCCAAAAAGACGAGUCAGGGUACACAACCAACCCUGAUAACUUUGUAGACUGCCUGAACUCUUCAGCUGACCCGAAAUGUCCAUUGGACUUGAAAGAGUCCACUGCUGAGAAUUCAAACAAUGUCAAAGAAGAAGAUGCAAUCAAGGUCUCAGUUGAUGAGACUCAAACAAUCCAAGACACAAAGGAAGAGGGAAUUAACUUUCACAGUCGCAUAGUUCUAAGACCGGCGCUCGAGAAGCGCAUGGUACCUGAAGACCUUAUCGCCAAUGAUGGUGUCAUUACUCACCCAGAGCAUGUUACCGAAAAUGCCAUAAAAUACCUGAAAGUGGCAGGUCAGGAUGAACAAAAUGGGAGCCCAGAUGAGUGUAGAAAUGCACUUGAACAUAAAGACAUUUCCAUAGCAUUGCCAGCAAGUGUAGAUAAAUGCAAAAAUGUAUCAGGAGUGAACUGUGGCACAUCGCUCGACAGCAACUGCCCUGCCGCUGAGACCAUAAGACAGCCUGAACAAUUGAUGGAUCCACCUGGUUGUCCAGUCGCUGACAAGCACUUAGAUGACAACAACGAGCCAGUUACACUUGAUGAAGAAAAGGCAUCAAAUGGAGGGAUCUCCACAGAGACCGAGCUGGAUGAUACAGAAACACGACUACAGGACCCUGUAAAAGAAACUCCGGAGACAAUUGACUCUUUUAGGGAACAGGGCUCCAAAGAAAGCAAACCAUGCACUAUGGUGGCCGAAGCAGAAGAGCAAGACGAUCCCAUUGAGGCCAAGCUGGAGGGUAACAAAGUACCUGGACCCAGUGAGCAGGGGAAUGAUGAGGGGGACGAUGAUAUUGAUGAGGGUCAAUCAUUUGACUUUAACGACCUAGAUUCGGUGGUUUCUGCAAAUGUGUUUCCAGUAACAUCCCAAGAGGUCAGCCAGGAGGUGAGAAUGAUGGAAGGCAACAAAAUGGAGGUAGAGCCAGGUAGAGAGAAGGCAAUCAAGGAAGAGGAAGACUGGGACAAGUCAACAGGAAAACCGCAGGGCACAGUAGAUGGAGUUAGCACAAUAGUGGCAAAGCAGCCACUUGAACGGGGGUCAGAGUGCACCAGAAUAGCUCCGAAGCCCUGAAGAAAAAGCACAAACCAGAGUUGCAGGCCAGAAUGCCAAUGAAGAACAACAACUAAUCACUUAUUUGUGUAAUAUACGAACAGAAAGACAUUGCAGAGGGAGUGUGUGUGUCUGAACAACAAUGUGUAGGUGAGAGGCUGCAGAAUGCAACAGAGGUAGGGGCUUUGCCAGGAGAGGAGGAGAAAUCCCGUAUGGGUCAAAGUAGGGGAGAAGAGAGCAUAGUCAAAGCAAUCUAGGUCAGGCUCGAAAAAGGUCAGUAAGAAAGGAAAAGGCAAGGGGAAAGAGAAGGACUGAUGAAUGACCUAGUUUUUUAGGUCUGCCCUCAAUAGAAACUGCAAAUAUUUAUGAUAGGAAUUGCAGAGUUUAAACUGCUGGAGCCGAAGCACCUUCAAUUAAAAUGAAUUCCAAAGCAAUCAGAGAGAUGUUUGUGGGUAUUUUAGCUCAUUUCGAUUAACCCUUUACACUCAUACCCAUAUACAGGUUGAAAAUUGCAGAAUUGGGCACUAAUAAGUGCCUAAAUUGGGCUGCACAGUAACAUGCUAUACAUGACGUCAGAGCUCUGGCUCUGCAGUUCACAACGCUGUAUGGGGUUUAACGAACAGCCGUUCUGAACAUGAGCACAGUGCGUGACAAGACGUUUCCCCCAUUCCUCCCAGUAAUUGGGCAACUCUUGUACAUUUUUGGUUGUCCGAGUGAGGGAAAAGCUCUAAAUUUAAGAUUACUAUGUAUUUUGAAAGAUGAGACGUUGAGGUUUAUAAUAACGCUUUGGCAUCAUACAAGCAAGCCAAACACCCGAGUCCAAAUUUGAACUUCAAAUUUCCAAAUCAUAAAAGUCAUGUCAUAUACUGUGUCAACGUUUAUGAUCACUAUGUUUGAUGUACAGUUGUAAGAUGACAUGGCGUUAUACCCUGGGUCAUUCUAGACAGAAUGAGCUUAUGUUUAUUGUGAAGCAAAUUUGCCAGGGCACACGCACCUUAAUUCAGUCAUGACUCCUUUUUACGUGCACCAAAGUUUCUCUGAAUUGCCUUGUGAAAGCCUAACACUGUGAAAUUGUAUUUUAUAACUUAGCUUGUGUGAUGGUGGGGAUGAAGUGUUGUGUGCCAAAUGAAACAACUACAAGUGUACUUACUCUAGUUCCUCAACGGCACAGCUAGGAGAACUCCAAAAAGUACCUUUUGUAGUUGAAGACUCGUCUUUGUGUCAUAAAAGUGCAUUGGAAAUUGCUUAGGAACUGUGCACACUUUGGAGAGGUGUAUGGCCAUUUCAAAUGACAUUUUAUUAGUCACAUACACAUGGUUAACAGAUGUUAAUGCGAGUAACGAAAUGCUUGUGCUUCUAGUUCCGACCAUGCAGUAAUAUCUAACAAUUUCGAAACUCCGAGACAAUGGAGACACCAGUUAGUCCUCUCACUCAAACCCUUGUCAUUUUUUUUGUCUUAUGUUGCACCUACCCCACAUUCUCCAGGAAUAGUCUUAUGUUACUGAAUUCGUUAACGAAUGCGGCAAAAAGUACAGUAAAUGUAAAAUGCACAUAAAAUCAGUGUAAUGUUAGGAUUCAGUAUUGUCAGGUGAACAGUUGUGUACUCACCUUUUGGUCUAAUAAUUGUCCCAUCUCAACUGUUCCUUUUCAAUUGCUACCAUGGUUAUGCAUAUGAUUUCUUCUGUAAGAAACAUUUCAAUUUAUCCCUAUCCAUAUAGGACAAUUCCCACGAGUGUAAAGGGUGACACAAUAAAAAAAAAUGUAGGUGAAAUGCUGUGCAGAAUCAUCUAUAAUUGUCUUGAGAUGUUGUUCUAUAUUAUCUUGAAUAGAUGUUAAUGUGCAUGACAUCCUGUAGAUCAACAUGGGUAAAAUGACGUUGAGAAGACAAUAUUGCAGUGGAUUAUAUAUUUCUUUAAACUAUGCUUAUGUCCCUGUAUUAUUGUCCUUUUAUAUUGUACAAUGCGUUUUCCUAUGUGAAAUGCACCAUUAGUGUUUUCCAGGUGUUUGUUUUUUUUUUUGCUUAAGUGCUUUGGGAAGUUGGUCAUAAAAUGGUAUGGGUAAUCUUACCAUGCAGACUUUUUCCCCAAAUAAGCAGUAACUCAACUGAUUCAACUAAGAAAGCUAGUUGUAGUAGUUGAUAAGUUGAAUCCAUCAGGUGUGUUACUGCUUGCCUGGAACACAUUGGCCCUGGCAGGGUACAUCUCCCAUACUCUCCUAUAAGCACCUAUAUAAUGUAAUAAUAUUGGUAGAUUUUUUUUUUGAAUGACUUUCUUAUUUUUUCAUCUAUUCAAGGGACGGUGUUACAUCAAUGCAUGAUAAAGCAUCUAUAUAUUGUGUAAUUACCACGAGAAACAAAUGCUGUAGCAAUUAAUUGCACAUCAUUUAUUGUAAUACCUUUAAUCUUCACAAUGUCAAUGUUACCCAGAACUAAAAAAUAUAUUUACUAGCAUUGGUGGUAUGGUUAGGAAAAAGCGUUUGAAGAAAAAAACGAACAGAUGCGGUUGUCUCAAGUCUCUAAUGCCAUAAAAUAAUUGGCUGAAAAAUCCUCCUUGAUACAAGUCAAUUCCAUGUAGGCUAUGUCAGGUGAAAUCCAAGCCCAGGGCUAUUACUGUAUGUGCAAACUGUAAAAAUGCAUUGUGUUUAGUAUACAGUGCAUUCAGAAAGUAUUCAGACCCCUUUAUUUUUCCCACAUUUUGUUAUGUUACAGCCUUAUUCUAAAAAAGAAUGUCCCCUCAUACAAUACCCCAUAAUGACAAAGCAAAAAUAUAUUUUUCAGAAAUGUUUGCAAAUGUAUUAAAAUAAAAAACAAUUGUAUUCAGACUCUUUAUUCAGUACUUUGUUGAAGUACCUUUGGCAGCGAUUACAGCCUCGAGUCUUCUUGGGUAUGACGCUACAAGGUUAGCACACCUGUAUUUGGGGAGUUUCUCCCAUUCUUCUCUGCAGAUCCUCUCAAGCUCUGUCAGGUUGGAUGGGGAGCAUUGUGUCAUGGAAAUUCUAAUCAAUAAUGAGGAGAGACCAAUCAGGAUAUUACUUUAUUCAAUACGUAUUAAUAACACAGAUUAAUUAUUGCAGUAAUGAAGCAGGUCGACGACCCACCCGUAGGUUAUUCGUUGAGAGCCCAACGAGCAGAUUUGAUCCACAGCAUUUUAUAGCAAAGUACAUCCUCCUGAAUGUUCAUGACAAACAACAGAUGUAUGGAAUGGGUCACAAGGUUAGGAUCUGUAUGAAUGAUACUAAUAAUUUACAGCAGGCAGUAUCUGCUGUAAAGACUCUUCUCAUUGUGUAGAAACCCAUACCCAAGCCAUCUCUCCAUGGUACCUUCCAGUCAAACCGUAGUCAUCUCCCUCACAUGAAUGGAAUAUGGGCUAAGGCAUUGUAAAUCUACUGGAAGCAUUUAGCCCCAGAGGCCCAAUUUUAGAAGACCACGCACAGAUGAGUGUUCCAAAAACCCCAUUCUACUCCAUAAAACAACCAUUUGAUGCAAUAACAGCAUUAUAACAAUCUUGUAAUUUCGCUAUCACAGUCGCUGCACGGCUAUUUUCUGGUCUCUCCAGAGAUGUUCAAGUCCGGGCUCUGGCUGGGUCACUCAAGGACAUUCAGAGACUUGUCCCGAAGCCACUCCUACAUUGUCUUGGCUGUGUGCUUGGGGUUGUUGUCCUAUUGGAUGAUGAACAUUCGCCCCAGUUUGAGGUCCUGAGUGGUCUGGAGCAUGUUCUCAAAGUAUCUCUUUGUACUUUGUUCCGUUCAUCUUUCCUCGAUCCUGACUAGUCUCCCAGUCUCUGCCGCUGAAAAACAUCCCCACAGCCUGAUGCUGCCACCACCAUGCUUAACCGUAUGGAUGGUGCCAGGUUUCCUCCAGACGUGGUGCUUGGCAUUCAGGCCAACGAGUUCAAUUUUGGUUUCCAGAGAAUCUUGUUUCUCAUGGUCUGAGAGUCUUUACGUGCCUUUUAGCAACUCCAAGCGGGCUGUCAUGUGCCUUUUUACUGAGGAAUGACUUCCGUCUGGCCACUCCACCGUAAAGGCCUGAUUGGUGGAGUGCUGCAGAGAUGGUUGUCCUUCUGGAAGGUUCUCCCAUCUCCACAGAGGAACUCUGACAAGCUCCAGUCUGCCCAUCGGGUUCUUUGUCACCUCCCUGACCAAGGCCCUUCUCCCCCGAUUGCUCAGUUUGGCUGGGCGGCCAGCUCUAGGAAGGGACUUGGUAAUUCCAAACUUCUUCCGUUUAAGAAUGACCACGGUGUUCUUGGGAACCUUCAAUGCUGCAGACAUUUUUUGGUACCCUUCCCCAGAUCUGUGCCUUUACACAAUCCUGUUUUGGAGCUCUAUGGACAAUUCCUUCGACCUCAUGGCUUGGUUUUUGCUCUGACAUGCGCUGUCAACUGUGGGACCUUUAUAUAGACAGGUGUUUGCCCUUCCAAAUAAUGUGCAAUCAAUUGAAUUUGCCACAGGUGGACUCCAAACAGGUUGUGGUAACAUUUCACGGAUGAUCAAUCGAAACCGGAUGCACCAGAGCUCAAUCUCGAUUCUCAUAGCAAAGGGUCUGAAUACUUAUGUAAAUAAGGUAUUACUGUUAUUUUUAAUUCAUUUGCAAACAUUUCUAAACCUGUUUUCGCUUUGUCGUUAUGGGGUUUUGUUGGUCGAUUUCAUGAGGGCAACAUUUUUUGAAAUCCAUUUCAGAAUAAGGCUGUAGCAUAACAAAAUGUGGAGAAAGUCGAGGGGUCAGAAACGUUCCGAAGGCACUGUAUGCCAUGUGUGCUGAAUUAAUAUAAUGAUAGGACUGCUAGACAAGUUGUACACAGUGUAAGAAUAUGAAUCCUUUGUUAAUCUCUGGUCUAAAUGUUUCUUCAUGUGCACUUUUUGUAAGGAAAUACCUUGAACCUUUUCCUUAAUGAAUAAAGUAAGUCAUUACCAGCUUUGAGAAAGGAACUGUAGUUCUUAUGCAUUAUAGUAUAAUAUGUAGUGGUGUCUGCCUGUCAUUGACGCACAAGCAAAUCUCUUAUGUUUAUCUUCCCUCAUCCAUUCGCUGUUUAGCAUAAAAAUGCCCUAUAGGUUGAGUGUCCUCUCCACAGUUUCUGCAUGCUAACCAUAGCCCCACCCCUCACAUAUCCUCUCCCAAUGGACACCUGCUCCAUUGCAUGCAUCAAGGGACUCUAAACUCCUCCCACUCUGACUCAGCCCCUCCCUGUCCAUGUACUUGGCUCCUCCCACCCCUGGUAUGUCAACAUUGGUUUUACAAGUUGUUGUUAUGAUUGUUCUUGCAUGAACCUAAUGCAAUUUUGUGUAAUAAAUGUGUUAGAUGCUUACUCAUAAAGUUGUACUGAUAAUUGUGAGAAGUUCUAUGAGACUUUUAAUGUGUAUUUAAUGUGAGACUGAUCCUGUACUGUAAGCAGUUGUCCAACAUUUUCUGUAAUACUGAAGUGAAGCAGAUGAGCUCUAAAUCUCGAUCUGCUUGUAUUUCUUUCAGAGAUCCGCCUGAGGAAGCUGGUUGACGAGCGGGAGAACUUGAUAGGACAGGUGAGGUGAAGAAACUGAAGGCCCAAGUAGAGCAAAAGAAACUGAGGAACGGGACUGAGGGCUCUAGCCCAGAGGGUGAGGUUCUGGAGAACGGCACAGACCCCCACAUACAAGACCUGCAGAGAGAUGCCAGCAGGCAACUUAGUGACCUGAAGUUCAAACUUGUAAAAUCCGAGCAAGAGGUGACCGCUUUGGAACAGAAUGUUACCAGGCUCGAGGGUCAGGUGACCCGCUACAAGGGUGCGUCAGAGAAUGCAGAGAAAGUGGAAGACGAGUUGAAGGCUGAGAAACGCAAGCUGCAGAGAGAGUUGCGGUCAACGCUGGAUAAGAUUGACGAACUUGAGUCGAACAACAGCCACCUCUCCAAGCGGCUGGACAAGAUGAAGGCCAAUCGCACCACGGCACCGACUCCCUAACGAUGACCUGCCAGCAUAAUUCCGACCCUAUCCUGUCUGUCCACCAAUGGCUGUCCACAUAUGACGGAGUGCCCGACCUUGCAUUGAGCUCUCCUCUCCAUCUGCCUCGCAACCUUAUGAAAAGAACCUUGAGAAAUUUGAGAUAUCCUAAUCGCUGAAGCGCACAACACACAAAAAUGCGCGAUGUGCCAUUUUCUUAAUGUCUUUGUUUUUUCCAAUGAGAAUUCUUCAUAGGCAUAUGUGCCUGUCUGCCUCACUUCCUCUACCAGGGGGUGGCGCUGCUCUGCACCAGAGAAUUAUAGGAAAUGUGGCGCUACAGGGGGGCGCCUUGGGACUGGAGGGGGUUCUUUGGACCGCACUGGCUGCUUGGGCUACAUGGCGCUCCUAUCCACCACACAUCCCCAGUGUACAGACUAAUACUGAAUGUCCCUCUGUCCUGAACCAUCCGCCUCCUCACUUAACCCCCUAUGUCCACAUUUACUAAACCGAGAGGACAUGGCCUAAACUGGGUGAACAUGGUGUGCUGUGUAUAUGAGAGCAUUUAUUGUGUGCACGUGUAUGAUUUUGAUUUUUUUUUUAUCCCGCUCUUAUAUUCUCUCAUCUGUGUCCUAAAGCCAAAGUAUGAGCACAUUUUACCGUGGUUGGGUGUGUAUGUUUGUUACCUGUUGUGUCUGAAGUCCAAGGGCUUGUGUAGUCUAAAGGCCAUGGAAGGUUGUGUGUGCAUCCCACCUUCCCAGGCUACACCGUCUCUAUUACCACAAUCAAUAUAAUAAUUGUCACACAGAAUGUUUUUACAUGCCGACGUGAUUUCAACCAUUUUUCUAACUCGGAUUCUUUUUUUCUUUUUUUUUUUUUACAGAUUUGUCUUUGAAUGUACCCAGAUCAUGUUCAUUAGGCACCAAACAAUAAAUUGUAAAACAGGGAGGGACUACCUGAAAUUGUCCAAUAAAAUACACAUUUUCUGUUGCAAUCCUUUUGCUACAGUUCCCUAAUGAACAGGACACAGUUGUUAGGUCCUAAACAGCUUGACUAAACUAAUUAACCAAUCUACUACAGCCACAGCUUUGAGUUAGGCUCAGAGCAGCCAAUGACAUGAAGUCUGCGUAUCCCCCCUCCAAUCUGGUAGAGCCCCAUUGAAGUUUGUCUCAGGGAAGAUCUCAAUUGCAUACUCCUUGCGUCCUAUCUCCUCAAAACCCAUUUGAUGAGAAAGCCAGAGGUCCCUCCCCUCCGGCCUCUUCCAACGGGUUUUAAGGAGGCUAGGAGUAUGUAACUGAGAUUCUCCCUCAGUUUCGAGCAAUAAAGUCAUUGGUUGGCCUGCCACCUCACAUACUCUUGCUUGUUGAGACAUGCUAGUGCUGAUGAUGCUUAUGGUGAUGAAAAAGACUACAUAAAAAGGGGAAGGGAACGUUGGUAGGAGACCCCCUCAAACACACUCUCUAGGGAGAUGCUGCUUCACUGUUUACAAAGCUUUAAAAUGUUUGUAAGGAAUUGUAAUAUUUGUGCAAUAAAAUGUCCAACCAUGCUGUA